UACGGGGGGGGCAAGCGUUGUUCGGAAUUACUGGGCGUAAAGGGUGCGUAGGCGGCUUUCUAAGUUGGAUGUGAAAACUAUGGGCUCAACCCAUAGCCUGCAUCCAAAACUGGAGAGCUUGGGUUCUGGAGGGGAAAGCGGAAUUCCUGGUGUAGCGGUGAAAUGCGUAGAGAUAUGGAGGAACACCUGCGGCGAAGGCG
rnacentral:rRNA from 1 species